CAGAUUGUGAUAGAGAUGGCAUUCAAGAUGAAGCUUCGUUCCUAUAGUUCAAUUUGGAGAAAGAGUCUGGGUCUCCCGUUCUGUAUAAAUAAGAGCUCCCUUCACUUUGAUUCUGCAUUCUCCACCAAGAACGCGCAUUGGGCAUACCGAGCUGAACGAGACGUGACUUCUCCUCAAGGUUUUUGACAUCUCUCCACCGCCAAGCUUCGUAGUUACUUGAGAAGACCUCUGCUUCUUUAAUUAAGUACAUAAUUUUGAAGGAAAGCAUUGCAGGUGGUGUUCAAACCAUUGCAGCAAACAUAAUUUUGAAGGAAGACGUUGCAGCCCGACCACAUAAUUUCUGCCACUAUCUUGUGCCAAGUAUCAGGAAGACUCCCAUCUCUCUUGCAUCUUGUGGCUUCAAUUUAGUGAUCGAGGGUGAGCCGAGUGAAUGCUGCAAACUCUGUGAUCACGGGUGGAGUAAUUUAUUCCUUUGGCGCUGCAUAAAGAUUCCUCCAGAGCAGUUUCUUCACUUUGUGGAGUAAUUUAUUCCUUUGGCGCUGCAUAAAGAUUCCUCCAGAGCAGUUUCUUCACUUUGACGCACCGCAAUACAGGCAUCAAAAACAAGUGCAGUGAACCCUCUAGCUUGGACCUUGCUUCCGCCACCUAUACGCAGGACGCACCGCAGUAUAGGCAUUGAAAGAAGGCCGAAAACACCGGUGAGCCCUUUCCCUUGCCGAAAUCUCUUCUCCUCCUUCAUCUCUAUGAACAUGCUUCUUUUUUGUCUCCUUGGACCUGCACUGUUUGUUAAUACAAAGGCAAAUGGAGGUGUAUUUGGUUGUUUUGUUUUCUGAUUUUGGUGGGCAACAAUGAGGGAUUCGAGGCUUUGUGAGUUGGUGUUGUUGGCGUAUUUGGCCGGAGUGGUUUGUUUGGGGAAUGGAGGGACUGUUUCUGCCUUUCUGGUGCUUAGAAGUAGAGGCAAGUCUGCACUCACGAAGACAUCAGCAAUAAUAGAGGAAAAUAGCAACGAAGAUCAUGAAGAAAGGACCAGCAGGAUACCUGAAGAUGAAGUACUCCUGUUGUAAAUUUGUCGUCUCCAGGGGGCAGUGAAGGUUCUAGAGGGCGGGAUAAAUAUUUGUUUGAAAUUUGAAUCUCCCGAAGCUCACGAAGAUAAGCUGUUGAUCGGAGACUUCGUCUUUGACUUUGAGAUUGAACUUGGACGCCCUCUGCCACUUUGUUCUU